AUUGAACGCUGGCGGCAGGCCUAACACAUGCAAGUCGAGCGGGGUUUUCGGACCUAGCGGCGGACGGGUGAGUAAUGCGUAGGAAGCUACCCGAUAGAGGGGGAUACCAGUUGGAAACGACUGUUAAUACCGCAUAAUGUCUACGGACCAAAGUGGGGGACCUUCGGGCCACAUGCUAUCGGAUGCGCCUACGUGGGAUUAGCUAGUUGGUGAGGUAAUGGCUCCCCAAGGCGACGAUCCCUAGCUGGUUUGAGGUGAUGAUCAGCCACACUGGAACUGAGACACGGUCCAGACUCCUACGGGAGGCAGCAGUGGGGAAUAUUGGACAAUGGGCGCAAGCCUGAUCCAGCCAUGCCGCGUGUGUGAAGAAGGCCUUCGGGUUGUAAAGCACUUUCAGUAGGGAGGAAGCGUUGUGUGUUAAUAGUACACAGCGUUGACGUUACCUACAGAAGAAGCACCGGCUAACUCUGUGCCAGCCGCCGCAGUAACAC
rnacentral:rRNA from 1 species